rnacentral:rRNA from 1 species
AGUGAACGCUGGCGGUAGGCCUAACACAUGCAAGUCGAACGGCAGCACAGUAAGAGCUUGCUCUUACGGGUGGCGAGUGGCGGACGGGUGAGGAAUACAUCGGAAUCUACUUUUUCGUGGGGGAUAACGUAGGGAAACUUACGCUAAUACCGCAUACGACCUACGGGUGAAAGCAGGGGAUCUUCGGACCUUGCGCGAUUGAAUGAGCCGAUGUGGGAUUAGCUAGUUGGGGGGGUAAAGGCCCACCAAGGCGAGGAUCGGUAGCUGGUCUGAGAGGAUGAUCAGCCACACUGGAGCUGAGACACGGUCCAGACUCCUACGGGAGGCAGCAGUGGGGAAUAUUGGACAAUGGGGGCAAGCCUGAUCCAGCCAUACCGCGUGGGUGAAGAAGGCCUUCGGGUUGUAAAGCCCUUUUGUUGGGAAAGAAAAGCAGCAGGUUAAUACCCCGCUGUUCUGACGGUACCCAAAGAAUAAGCACCGGCUAACUUCGUG